ensembl:lncRNA
GACCAGCUGGAGCAGAAGUAAGAGCUGGUUGGUGUUCGGUGGCGAUGUGCAGCGGGUGCGUUGCUCCAUCUCCCGGCAGCUGCUCUGAUGUGCAGGGGAAGAGCUCCAGCUGCGGUUUGGCAUAUGAGAUGCUGCAUGGUAACGUUUCUUUCUUUGUAAAACAGUUGCUGAGCGCCGCCGUGUCCGAUAGACUGAAAUUCAGGGGUCCGGUGCAGCCGAAAUCUCAGUGCUGAGCUCUCUCUGACCAAAGCACGGAAGCUGCAUGUGGGAUUUGGCUGCUCCGUAUCGCUGUUACAGCCCACCCGGCCCCUCCAUGUGUUCAGGUUUCCUCUUUGCUUUAGAGAAACUUUAUGUUAAAAAUCAACCGGUGCGUGGGAACAGGGUGGGAGGGAAAUCAACGUGCAACAAACUAUUCUCAGAUAGAUUUAAACGUUACCACUUUCCUGUUCACCUGCUGAUGUUCAGGGUUGGAACGUGUAAUUAGAGGCUGUCCUCGGGCUGCCAGCACAAAGCCAAGCUCGAUCUUUGCUGCCCUCCCACGGCACAACCGGGGAAGGAAACUGGAAAUUGAAGCUUGUAAAAGGCUUUAACUGAGCUGUUUUGCACCUGAAAUGCUUCAGUGACUCCUGGGGUGCUCUGAGGUUUGCAGUUUUUCCUCAGAAGAUUUCAUUAUAAACUGAGCUACCAGAAAGCGAUGGUGCCAUGCAAGGAUGUCUGUGAUCCACAGCCGGCUCCAGGGGAGGCUUAUCCAUCUGAAGGUGUUGGCUUAACACAAACCCAACUGCUGGGGAGGAUCUUUCAGCUGUUGCAGCCUUGGGAUGCAUGCCUGGCUGCCAGAGAAGACCCUUGGGAAGAGCAGAGUCUAUUUCCAGCCGGACCAACAAGCCAGGAGAUGUCCUUUGGCACAGCCUUGAAAUCCCAAUUGCCACAUGUAAGCCAUUUGUUUCCAUCCGGCAUGAAGCUGAACUCAGGCUGUUUGCUGAGUGCAUUCCUCAAACCAGGAAUGAGAGCUUUCAGUUUCCACGUGUUAUUCUCUGGAUUACAGGUAUGAAAUGUUUUACCUUCAGCUCAGCUGCUGCCGUUGGCAGAGCCCAUGAAACUCUCAGCAUCUGUCCAAAAAGUGAGUUAUGAUCCCUUCUGGUUACAGGCAGAUCUUAAAAGCAGGAAGGGAGGGCAUUCCAAGGGCUUACAAAGCAGAAAGCAAAGAAUUGAAAAUAUGCCCAAGAGAAUCUGAAACCUGUUACAGUUGCUGCAUCUACCUCAGGUCAGGCAUUGUUAAUGAGUUAUUAACAUGUGAUGCUAAUGACACAUCAUGAAAGAGCUCAGCCCAUGGAGGACCCAGAGAGAGUCCUGCUGGUUUAAAGUGACGUACUUUGUGUGUUCCACUUUCCUUCUUACAACUUCCUUUUUCUUUUUUCCCCCCUAUUAGUAACAGCCAUAACAAAACCUGUCCUCCUGAAGGAGGAGUGAGCUCCAUAAAAGGUGGCAGGUUUAUUUAAAUUACACUUUGUGUUAACAAAAGGCUCGGGUUAGUGAAAACAUGAUUAGAGAUUUGGUAUGCUUAAGGGCUAUUAACAGUAUGCUUCUACCCAGAUGGAAUCAGAGUACAAAGAGGAAGAAACCUCCAUUUGACACUGCCUAGCUAAUCUCAGCAGUACAUCGCUCAUUACUCUGUGCAGGAUUAAAGCUGAGCUCUGUGGUGCUGCCUUUGAGACUCAGCAGGGCAGCUCUCCUUCACAGCAAUGGGGUCAGAUAAUUCCAGGUGUGUGGCAGGAAGGCUGUGGAGUGAAAACUGUUGGGUUUAAAUUACCCGAUUUUCCACAUUCUUCUCUCUCUUGGAGAAGGUCAAAUGUAAUGUUCGCUCUUGAAAGAGUUUACACAACAUAUAAAUUUAGAUUGUUCAGUCAAGUGUUGCUGAUUGAGAAGGUGUUGAUACAGUUGGUACUUGCGGAUGUGUUGCAAAGUGUAUGAAUUCAUAGCACUGCUAAAAUCUGCUGGGAGGUGCAGGAGGCUUCUUGCAUAUGGCUUGUAAUGUAUGUGAAAUAAUAUGA